GAAAGCCAUAUAGUAAUUAAUGGGAGAAGCAAUGAUGGAAACUGGAGCGUUGACGGUUUAUCAGUGCAAAGAAUGUAAUCAUAUAGUAAGUGACAGUAGUGUGCGUGUUAGUGAGAACGGGAAAGUACUGGUAUUGACAGAUGCAACGAUAAAAUUAGGCCCUGAACAGGAAAUUGAAAUACCUGGCAGUCAUCCUAGCAAGGCGUGCUGCUGGAAAUGGAUUUACUAAAGUUCUAAAACUAAACGAGAAGAUAAAAAAUCUCAAUGAAAGAUUAUUAGAUUUGAACUACACAGUUAUGUUGUCAGCCAGGGAGAUUGUGAGAAUGAAAGAGGUGUUGUGUCUUUUGGCUAAUGAUCCUAAAGUGAUAAACUUGCUCCAGUUAGAUUCUAAUUUUACAGAUGCAUCCAGUGAUACAGAUAAUAUGUAAGGUUGGUUUGUGGUAAUAUCUUGUUUCCUGUGACCAACGAUUCUGAUUUUUAUGAUUGUCAAGAAAAUAAACAGGUACAUUCAGCA